rnacentral:rRNA from 1 species
CCUACGGGGGGCUGCAGUGAGGAAUAUUGGUCAAUGGACGAGAGUCUGAACCAGCCAAGUAGCGUGAAGGAUGACUGCCCUAUGGGUUGUAAACUUCUUUUAUAUGGGAAUAAAAUGUUCCACGUGUGCGUUUUUGUAUGUACCUUAUGAAUAAGGAUCGGCUAACUCCGUGCCAGCAGCCGCGGUAAUACGGAGGAUCCGAGCGUUAUCCGGAUUUAUUGGGUUUAAAGGGAGCGUAGGUGGAUUGUUAAGUCAGUUGUGAAAGUUUGCGGCUCAACCGUAAAAUUGCAGUUGAAACUGGCAGUCUUGAGUACAGUAGAGGUGGGCGGAAUUCGUGGUGUAGCGGUGAAAUGCUUAGAUAUCACGAAGAACUCCGAUUGCGAAGGCAGCUCACUGGACUGCAACGGACACUGAGGCUCGAAAGUGUGGGUAUCAAACAGGAUUAGAUACCCUUGUAGUC